rnacentral:lncRNA from 1 species
UCAUAAUACAGAAUGAAUGACUGACUUCCCAGUGCAACAUUAGUUCACCAUCUCAUACAGUAUUGGAGCAGCAGCAGCUGACUUGAUCGUUGAUGCUACUCAGCAUAUUUGAAUCUGAGAGUAAAUAGAGCCGAAUACACUCUAAAAAUGAAGGGUUCAACUGGAGUUGUUCUCAGAUCCCCUAAGAACCGUAGGGUUCUUGUCAAUGAAAAACAGCCCAAAAGGUUCUUCAAAGAACUUGUUAGAAGGUGGGUUCAUCGAGGAACCUCCGUUGUUGCUGGACUUCUUCCUGGAACUUCGCAAUUACAACUGAAAACGCCAGUGGCAAGUUUGGAUGCGACAACAGUUAAAAAGGACAGAACAUGGACACAAUGCAAUUGGGAUCAAGAAGAUCUUCUCAGAAAUGAAUCAAGUCCAUGGAAUGGAUAUAGACAAAAAGAGAAUUCAAGGACUAGCAGAGGUAAAGAGGUGAGGCAGGGGUGAGGAGACCAUCCUGCUAUUUUGACAGUCCCUGAAGGACAAUACAGAAGAGGUACUUUCUCUUAUUCCUUCCCUUUCUCUAAUGUAUUUUGUAAUAAAAUUAGCAAGUGUAGUAAGAUCAUUGCUUUACUUUACUAGGACUGGAGACCACAGCAGCGAUCCUGCUCUUGCCCUACCUCUUCAAGAGGACCCGAGUGGCCUUUAUGUCAGUGACAAGGUAUGCCUAUGCACAAAUCAUCUGUUUCUUCAUAAACAUAGGUGUGCAUGCUUAUAUAAAACUACAGCUGAACAGUUGUUCUGUUCUUUGUUAAUUGUAUGUGUAUUAAUCUUUUCUUACUUUUGUUGACACAGAUUUCACCACUCUUCACUCCGUUACUGCACAUCGGCGGAAAUCCAUUUCACCAUGAGAGUGAAAUCCCGCUGGCCUUUGAUGGGGAGAACGUCCACGCCCUCGAGGACUUGGGGCUCUGCUACGACUGCAUUUAAAAAAUCCCUUAAAUUUCCCAAAAUGUCAGAAAAACACAUAUGUUCUUAAGUUACUGUGUUCUGGGGAUAAGAGAAGUUGGGGUGAAGUUACCAGGACCGGUCAUAAAGAUGGCAAAAUUCCGAACAUAACUAAAUGGAUACGAUAUACACACUAAAGCUGAAAAAUCUGUAUUUAGCAUCAAGUCUACAAUAUUGUUAGUUUACCUAUGAUUCAUUUUUAAUGUAUGUUGUUUUUAUUGUACAUCAUUAUUCAUAUAUAUUUUUUAAAUGUCAUGAAAAGCCCUAUACAAAGUAAAUGUAUUAUUUAUUAUGGUCUGACAUGUCUGCAGAAACUUUGCAAUUUUGUAAAGUGUUUGUUUGGUAAACUGUUUUGUAAAUAUGAAUUCAUAUUUGUGGUGCCACUAAAUAAACAAUU